rnacentral:rRNA from 1 species
AGGUUAAGGAAGAAAGAGCAUAAGGUGAAUGCCUUGGUGAUUAGAGCCGAAGAAGGACGUGGCAAGCUGCGAAAAGCUAUGAUAAGGAGCAAACAUCCGUUACAGUCAUAGAUCUCCGAAUGAGGAAACUCACUUAAUAGAGAUAUUAAGUAUCCAUUACUGAAUAAAUAGGUAAUAGGAAGGGAACCCGCCGAACUGAAACAUCUAAGUAGGUGGAGGAAAAGAAAGAAACAUCGAUUCCCAAAGUAGCGGCGAGCGAAAUGGGAGGAGCCCAAACCAUAUAAGGAAACUUAAAUGGGGUAAGGACUAUCAACAAAGUGACGAGGUAUUGAAGAAGAAGUAGUCUGGGAAGCUACACCAAAGACGGUAAAAGUCCGGUAUUUAAAACAAGAAGACGCACGAGAUAGUACCAGAGUAUCGUAGGACACGAGGAACCCUGCGAGAAGAAAGGGGGACCACCCCCAAAGGCUAAAUACUACUAAUCAACCGAUAGAGAAAAGUACCGUGAGGGAAAGGUGAAAAGAACCCCGGGAGGGGAGUGAAAGAGAACCUGAAACCAUAUGCUUACAAACAGAUGGAGCGAUAAGUGACAUCGUACUUUUUGUAGAACGGGCCAACGAGUUAUGCUGUAAAGCAAGGAAAAGAAAUUAAGUUUCAAAUCCAAAGCGAAAGCGAGUCUGAAAAGGGCGAUAAGUUAUACAGCAUAGACCCGAAACCGGGCGACCUACCCAUGAGCAGGUUGAAGUUUCAGUAACAUGAAAUGGAGGACCGAACCCACGAACGUUGAAAAGUUCGGGGAUGACUUGUGGGUAGAGGUGAAAUUCCAAUCGAGCUCGGAGAUAGCUGGUUCUCUUCGAAAUAGCUUUAGGGCUAGCGUCUUUAGAAAAGUAUAUUGGGGGUAGAGCACUGAAUGCUCUAGGGGCCGUAUAGGUUACCGAAAGCUAUCAAACUGCGAAUACCAAUAUAUGAUAAAAGGCAGUCAGACUAUGAGUGAUAAGAUCCAUAGUCAAGAGGGAAAAAGCCCAGACCAACAGCUAAGGUCCCCAAAUGUAUGUUAAGUGGAAAAGGAUGUGAAAUUGCACAGACAACCAGGAUGUUGGCUUAGAAGCAGCCAUACAUUAAAAGAGUGCGUAAUAGCUCACUGGUCGAGUGGUUUUGCGCCGAAAAUUACCGGGGCUCAAACAUACUACCGAAGCUUUGGAUUCACGCAAGACGUGAGUGGUAGAAGAGCAUCGUAUGAUAGGACGAAGCAGAAUCGAAAGAGACUGUGGACAAGAUACGAGAGAGAAUGUUGGCAUGAGUAGCGAGAUGUGUGUGAGAAUCACACAGGCCGAAAACCCAAGGAUUCCUGAGGAAGGUUCGUCCGCUCAGGGUAAGUCGGGGCCUAAGGCGAGGCAGAGAUGCGUAGCUGAUGGAUAACAGGUUAAGAUUCCUGUACCUACGAGUAUCGCCAAAGAGGAGAAGGAAUGACGCAGGAGGAUAGUUAAAGCGUGCGAUUGGAAGAGCACGUCCAAGCAGCAAGUUAGAGUAUAAAGGCAAAUCCGUAUGCUUGAUAAUAUGAGCUGUGAAGGGGAGCGAAUAAAGUAGCGAAGUUAAUGAUUUCACACUGACAGGAAAAGUUUCUAUCCAGAUACAAGUAGCCCGUACCGAAAACCGACACAGGUGGGUAAGGUGAGAAACCUAAGGCCAGCGAGAGAACUGUUGUUAAGGAACUCGGCAAAAUGACCCCGUAACUUAGGGAGAAGGGGUGCCUACGAGAGUAGGCCACAGAAAAAAGGCCCAAGCGACUGUUUACCAAAAACAUAGGUCUCUGCGAAACCGAAAGGUGAAGUAUAGGGGCUGACGCCUGCCCGGUGCUGGAAGGUUAAGAGGAGAGUUUAGAGAAAUCGAAGAUUUGAAUUUAAGCCCCAGUAAACGGCGGCCGUAACUAUAACGGUCCUAAGGUAGCGAAAUUCCUUGUCGGGUAAGUUCCGACCCGCACGAAAGGCGUAACGAUUUGGGCACUGUCUCAACAACAGACUCGGUGAAAUUGUAGUACCGGUGAAGAUGCCGGAAACCUGCGACAGGACGGAAAGACCCCAUGGAGCUUUACUGUAGCUUAGUAUUGAAUUUAUGUAAUUAAUGUACAGAAUAGGUGGGAGGCAGAGAAUGUAGGUCGUCAGAUUUACAGGAGCCAACUUUGGGAUACCACCCUUUGAUUAUGUGAGUUCUAACCGGAACCUUUGAAGCAAGGUACGGGACAGUGCUUGGCGGACAGUUUGACUGGGGCGGUCGCCUCCCAAAGAGUAACGGAGGCGUCCAAAGGUUCCCUCAGCAUGGUCGGAAAUCAUGCGAAGAGUGCAAAGGCAAAAGGGAGCUUGAUUGCGAGACCAACAAGUCGAGCAAAGACGAAAGUCGGGCUUAGUGAUCCGGUGGUAGAAAGUGGAAUUGCCAUCGCUCAACGGAUAAAAGCUACCCUGGGGAUAACAGGCUGAUCUCCCCCAAGAGUUCACAUCGACGGGGAGGUUUGGCACCUCGAUGUCGGCUCAUCACAUCCUGGGGCUGGAGUAGGUCCCAAGGGUUGGGCUGUUCGCCCAUUAAAGUGGUACGCGAGCUGGGUUCAGAACGUCGUGAGACAGUUCGGUCCCUAUCCGUCGCAGGCGUAGGAUAUUUGAGAGGAGCUAUCCUUAGUACGAGAGGACCGGGAUGGACGCACCACUGGUGUACCAGUUGUCUUGCCAAAGGCACAGCUGGGUAGCUAUGUGCGGAACGGAUAAGUGCUGAAGGCAUCUAAGCACGAAGCCAACCUCAAGAUAAGAUAUCCCAUUCGAAAGAAGUAAGACCCCAUUAAGAGUAAGUGGUAGAUAGGCAAGGAGUGUAAGUGCAGUAAUGUAUUAAGCUAACUUGUACUAAUAGGUCGAGGACUUAACCUAAUA